GAAUCCAUCCAUCGGUCGGGCCUCACGGUCCGCACUGGUGUGAUGGAUUUCUACCUUCUGAAUAACCAGCAUGUCAUUAAUUUGGUGUUGCGGGGAAUUUGGACUGUUACUUUGAAAAAAUUAGAGUGUUUAAAGCAAGCUAACGCUUGAAUACAUUAGCAUGGAAUAAUGAAAUAGGACGUUCGAUCCUAUUUUGUUGGUUUUUAGGAUCAACGUA
rnacentral:rRNA from 1 species